rnacentral:rRNA from 1 species
AGCAGCCGCGGUAAUUCCAGCUCCAAUAGCGUAUAUUAAAGUUGUUGCAGUUAAAAAGCUCGUAGUUGAAUUUCGGGGUUAGUAGGUUGGUCAUGCCUCUGGUAUGUACUGGUCUCACUGAUUCCUCCUUUCUGAUGAACCUUAAUGCCAUUAAUUUGGUGUUUUGGGGAAUUUGGACUGUUACUUUGAAAAAAUUAGAGUGUUUAAAGCAAGCUAACGCUUGAAUACAUUAGCAUGGAAUAAUGAAAUAGGACGUUCGAUCCUAUUUUGUUGGUUUCUAGGAUUGACGUAAUGAUUAAUAGGGAUAGUUGGGGGCAUUAGUAUUCAAUUGUCAGAGGUGAAAUUCUUGGAUUUAUUAAAGACUAACUACUGCGAAAGCAUUUGCCAAGGAUGUUUUCAUUAAUCAAGAACGAAAGUUAGGGGAUCGAAGACGAUCAGAUACCGUCGUAGUCUUAACCAUAAACUAUGCCGACUAGGGAUCGGAUGAUGUUAAUUUUUUAAUGACUCAUUCGGCGCCUUACG